rnacentral:rRNA from 1 species
UACGUAGGGUGCAAGCGUUGUUCGGAAUUAUUGGGCGUAAAGCGCGUGUAGGCGGUUUGUUAAGUCUGGUGUGAAAGCCCUGGGCUCAACCUGGGAAGUGCAUUGGAUACUGGCAAACUUGAGUACGGGAGAGGAUAGUGGAAUUUCGAGUGUAGGGGUGAAAUCCGUAGAUAUUCGAAGGAACACCGGUGGCGAAGGCGGCUAUCUGGACCGAUACUGACGCUGAGACGCGAAAGCGUGGGGAGCAAACAGG